UACGGAGGGUGCGAGCGUUAUCCGGAUUCAUUAGGUUUAAAGGGUGCGUAGGCGGCGCGCUAAGCCAGGGGUGAAAUCUACCGGCUCAACCGGUAGUGUGCCUUUGGAACUGGCGUGCUAGAGUAAUGAUGGGGUAGGCGGAAUGUGUGGAGUAGCGGUGAAAUGCUUAGAGACCACACAGAACACCGAUAGCGAAGGCAGCUUACCAAACAUUAACUGACGCUGAUGCACGAAAGCGUGGGUAGCGAACAGG
rnacentral:rRNA from 1 species